rnacentral:rRNA from 1 species
CAAAAACAUGUCCUUUUGUUAUUUAUUUAAGGUCUGACCUGCCCAAUGAGGAAUUGAAUGGCCGCAGUAUUUUAACUGUGCUAAGGUAGCAUAAUCAUUUGUCUUUUAAUUGAGGGCUGGAAUGAAGGGUUGGACGAAGUAUUAUCUUUCUUUAAUUUAAUUGUAGGAAUUUAAUUUUUGAGUUAAAAAGCUUAAAUUUAUUUAUUGGACGAGAAGACCCUAUAGAUCUUUAUAAUUUUAUAUUUUGGUAAUUUAGUGAUUUUUUUAUUUGAAGUAAAUGAAUUAUUUUGUUGGGGUGACUGUAGAAUUUGUAUAUAACUUCUAUUUGUGUUUUUCAUUAAUGAGUGUAUUGUUGAUCCAUUGAUAAUGAUUAUAAGAUUAAGUUACUUUAGGGAUAACAGCGUAAUUUUCCCAGAGAGUUCAUAUUAAUGGUAGAGUUUGCGACCUCGAUGUUGGAUUAAAAUAAGGCAUGGGUGGUAGGAGCUAUAAACUAGGUCUGUUCGACCUUUAAAUUUUUACAUGAUCUGAGUUCAA